CAUGAACGAAUGAAGAGUUAUUCCAAAAUCCUUACUAAAGGGCGGGAUAAAUCUGAUAUGUUCAUA
rfam:Plasmodium malariae genome assembly, contig: contig1595